AAGAUUAGAUUUCUUGAGGGUCGUUGAAGACGACAACGUUGAUAGGAUGCAGGUGUAAAGCUGGAGACAGCAAAGCCGAGCAUUACUAAUUGCCCGUCAGCUUUCCUUA
rnacentral:rRNA from 1 species